GCAAAUUUAAGCCAAUAAUAAUUUUUGUUCUUCGCCUUCCGAGGCGACCGGCGAGGCGUGGUUUAUUAAAAACUUCUACAAUUGGCACUGGCAGAAGCAAACCCUAACAAUCACCUGCGUUGCUCCCAACAAACUCUCUUGGGUUGUUGCCGGAGAUCCACAGACUAGUAGGAAGAAAGGAAUGGCGUCGUUUGCAGAAGCUCCGGCCGGAGAUCUGAAAGCCGGGGAGAAGAUAUUCAAGACCAAGUGCGCUCAGUGCCACACUGUCGACAAAGGUGCCGGCCACAAACAAGGACCCAACUUGAAUGGCCUUUUUGGCAGGCAAUCUGGAACAACCCCCGGGUACUCUUAUUCUGCUGCUAACAAGAACAUGGCCGUCAUUUGGGGGGAAAACGCGUUGUAUGAUUAUUUGCUGAACCCAAAAAAGUUACUUGUUUGUAGGUAUCAUGGGAUGGUCUAAGAUGCUUCCGGUGCAAAUAUCAAUGAUUCCUUGUACAUAAUAAUACAACCAAUACAAAUGGACUUUAGACUUGAUCGUACAUCCCUGGAACUAAGAUGGUUUUCCCAGGAUUGAAGAAGCCGCAGGAGCGCGCGGACCUGAUUGCAUAUCUUAAGGAAUCCACAGCAUAGCGAUUCCUUUGCCUUAUUCCCUUAUUUCUUUUUGCAGUUCCAGGUGAUAUUGCUUUUGCUGAGAUUGAGCAGGAAAACGGCAUUCUUUAGUAAUAAGAACUGAUUCACCGACCUUCUAGGUCCACCUUGUUUGUUUUUGAAGCAUCAGUGACAGAAAUUGCCUCAUUAGGAAGAGGUAGUGCCUUAGGCACAAAGACAACAUCCAAUCCAAUUAGCCACAUUUGAAUAUUUAAACGUUAUCAUGUGAAACAAUAACGUUUCAUUUGGUUUCCUUUUAAAGUUUUGGCCUA